rnacentral:lncRNA from 1 species
AAAAGUUUUAGCUGUCAGAGAGAGUGUGCUUCUAUUUACUUAAUUAUGUCUCACACUUCCUCACGUGUGGGCUUGAUUCUUUUUUAUGAGCCAAGCACAUGGAGUUUUCUUUUUUGAUAUUGGGUGGCGGUGAGACUCGAACGCAGGACCUUUGCUUGUCCAUGUUGAAGUGUGUGAUCAUCUAAUCUAAAAGCUUAAGUUGUUAAAAAGAGCACACUUCUAUUUCUUAAUUAUGUCUUCAACAAUUAUGACAUCUUUAAUAGGCAGUGAUCUUGACAAUAGUUCACAUUCAAACCUGCGUAUUAUAAGGAACUUGUUCUCAGGCAAAAGCUACUUGUUUAGCUUUUAAAGGAUUGUUUGGUUUUGCUGAUAAGGGGGCAUAUUAGGUGUUCUUUAGGAUAGUUAGGUGUUUUUGGUUGCCUAUCCGGUCAUC